rnacentral:rRNA from 1 species
UACGUAGGGUGCGAGCGUUGUCCGGAAUUAUUGGGCGUAAAGAGCUCGUAGGCGGUCUGUCGCGUCGGUCGUGAAAACUUGGGGCUUAACCCUGAGCUUGCGGUCGAUACGGGCAUGACUGGAGUUCGGCAGGGGAGGCUGGAAUUCCUGGUGUAGCGGUGAAAUGCGCAGAUAUCAGGAGGAACACCGGUGGCGAAGGCGGGUCUCUGGGCCGAUACUGACGCUGAGGAGCGAAAGCGUGGGGAGCGAACAGG